AUUGAACGCUGGCGGCAGGCUUAACACAUGCAAGUCGAACGAGUGGCGGACGGGUGAGUAAUGCUUGGGAAACUGCCUGAUGGAGGGGGAUAACUACUGGAAACGGUAGCUAAUACCGCAUACCAUCGGAUGUGCCCAAGUGGGAUUAGCUAGUGGGUGGGGUAAGGGCCUACCAAGGCGACGAUCCCUAGCUGGUCUGAGAGGAUGACCAGCCACACUGGAAAUGAGACACGGCCCAGAGUCCUACGGGAGGCAGCAGUGGGGAAUAUUGCACAAUGGGGGCAAGCCUGAUGCAGCCAUGCCGCGUGAAUGAAGAAGGCCUUCGGGUUGUAAAGUACUUUCAGCGGGGAGGCGUUACCCACAGAAGAAGCACCGGCUAACUCCGUGCCAGCAGCCGCGGUAAUAC
rnacentral:rRNA from 1 species